ACAAAUAUAGAACCGAUCUAAAAAAACAAACAGAGAAAACUUUGGAUAGCUAGGGUUUUAGAGGAACCCUAAAGAGGAAAGGCUUGGAAAAGGUCUGAUCCAAGUCGGAUGAGUCAGAACCAGGCUCGAAAUGCUUUGGAUAUGCCGGAGCAAAGCCGGAGAGGCCAUGGAACCUUAAAUCGGAGAAAAUCUGAACCGACGCCAUCGAGGUUAGACUCGAAACUUCGAACACUAAGCAUUUAAGAGCAUAGAUAGAUGAGUGUAGGCCAUCAAUGCCCUGAGAGGACAUGGAUUCUGGUGAGUUUGCAGUUGAAAAUGGUAGAAGGCGAUUAGAGUUUCAAGAUCCUUCGAGAGAUUUUGAGAGAGGAGAGUGUUUGGGGGAGGCUGAUAUAAG
rnacentral:lncRNA from 1 species